CCUACGGGAGGCAGCAGUGGGGAAUCUUGCGCAAUGGGCGAAAGCCUGACGCAGCAACGCCGCGUGCGGGAAGAAGGCUUUCGGGCUGUAAACCGCUUUCAGCAGGAACGAAAAUGACGGUACCUGCAGAAGAAGGAGCGGCCAACUAUGUGCCAGCAGCCGCGGUGAUACAUAGGCUUCAAGCGUUGUCCGGAUUUAUUGGGCGUAAAGAGUUCGUAGGCGGUCGAGUAAGUCGGGUGUGAAAAUUCUGGGCUCAACCCAGAGACGCCACCCGAUACUGCUUGACUUGAGUUCGAUAGGGGAGUGGGGAAUUCCUAGUGUAGCGGUGAAAUGCGCAGAUAUUAGGAGGAACACCGGUGGCGAAGGCGCCACUCUGGAUCGAUACUGACGCUGAGGAACGAAAGCAUGGGUAGCAAACAGGAUUAGAUACCCUGGUAGUCCAUGCCGUAAACGGUGGGCACUAGGUGUGGGUUUCUAUUAACGAAAUCCGCGCCGUCGCUAACGCAUUAAGUGCCCCGCCUGGGGGUAGGUACGGUCGCGAGAACGUAAACUUAAAUAGAAGUUAAGUACGGUCGUUGAGUAGUUGCGACGGACGACGACGAGGGAGGAGG
rnacentral:rRNA from 1 species